CUAACACAAGCAAGUCGAGCGGUAACAGAAAGUAGCUUGCUACUUUGCUGACGAGCGGCGGACGGGUGAGUAAUGCUUGGGAACAUGCCUUGAGGUGGGGGACAACAGUUGGAAACGACUGCUAAUACCGCAUAAUGUCUACGGACCAAAGGGGGCUUCGGCUCUCGCCUUUAGAUUGGCCCAAGUGGGAUUANCUAUUUGGUGAGGUAAUGGCUCACCAAGGCGACGAUCCCUANCUGGUUUGAGAGGAUGAUCANCCACACUGGGACUGANACACGGCCCANACUCCUACGGGAGGCAGCAGUGGNGAAUAUUGCACAAUGGGCGCAAGCCUGAUGCANCCAUGCCGCGUGUGUGAAGAAGGCCUUCGGGUUGUAAAGCACUUUCAGUCANGAGGAAAGGUUAGUAGUUAAUACCUGCUANCUGNGACGUUACUGACAGAAGAAGCACCGNCUAACUCCGUGCCAGCAGCCGCGGUAAUACAGAGGGUGCGAGCGUUAAUCGGAAUUACUGGGCGUAAAGCGUACGCACGCGGUUUGUUAAGCGAGAUGUGAAAGCCCCGGNCUCAACCUGANAACUGCAUUUCGAACUGGCACACUAGAGUGUGAUAGAGGGUGGUAGAAUUUCANGUGUAGCGGNGAAAUGCGUAGAGAUCUGA
rnacentral:rRNA from 1 species